UCUGAUCACUGAAAAGAACCAAACUCCCAUCACCACUGUGACAGCUGUUUCACAUCUGUAUCCGUGUAUCGUGUCUGUUGAGGCUAUUUAUGUCUUGUCAUCCUUUUAAUGUCGUUUUCCUAUAGCAUUAGAUAAACAUCAGCAGGUUCUGCAGAGACUAAAUCCUGAUCUGAUGGUUUCGGUCUUACGGUAGGUGCCAGGGCAGCUUCCCGUUCUUCCCGAUCCCCAUGUCGUUGCAGACGGCAGCGAUGAGGCGGACGGGUUUCUUCUGCACCUUGUCCAGGCUCGUUUCCAUCUCUAGCACGCGGUCACAGCAGCAGCUACACCAGACGCUCGCGAUCAGGAUUUCAGCCCGUGGGUCUCCUACUAUUUAUCCGGAUCUGAAAUCCUCCUUCACCGCCCACCGGGCUGCAGCUAUGAUUGGACACGGAGGACUCUCCCGUGCAUCCUGGAAACGGUCUAUUGGCUAACUUACACCGGCUCAGUGUCCACUCAGUCUCAGCUCCAGCACUCCAGGCCCCUUCACAGCAGCUGUCUUGCGGUGCAGCUCCGAACUGCAGAAGAGUGGAGAUGGACCGGACACAGAUCUGGUGGAAGUCUGGCGUAGAAGCAGUGCAUUCUCUUAAGAAUUUUUCUGAUUGGAUGAACAAGACUUGUUGCACCUGUCCCCAGUCUCCCCUAUUAUAUACUAUGAUGAAACUACAUCAGUCAUGAAACUAGCAAGCAAAUGGCUCCAACAUGAAACAGUACCAGCAUAUUUUAAUGUUCCACAACAAACUGAUCAACAAAACCAAAUAUCUCAUCACACAAGCAUUGAACAUUCAGACCACCUGAAAACAGCAUCCCCACCUUCUUCUUCUUCUUCUUUUUAAGGAAGAGAUAUUUGAAACAUAAACAUAAAGUCGAAAAACAGAAACAGAUACAAGGUUUGUGUUUUCUUUCAGUUUUAAUAUAGUUAGAAUUUGGUCAUUGUUUGUACAAAAAUAACAGACUGACGAUCACAUGGGGGAAAAAACGAGUGCAUUCACAGUAGGUCUUUUGAGUUUGGUAAAUAUGUUCUUUACAAAAAAGGAGCUGAGAAACCCUGUGAUCAAAUAUACAAAAGAUGAGAAUCAAAAACAAUAAAUAUGUACAAAUCUUUAUUCUCUGUAAGGUUUCUUUAUUACAAACCUGACAGUCACGUUAAGUUCUCUGAGCAUCGACCUACACUUUAUGUUCAUCCUGGCAGAGUGACAUUCUGAUAUAAACAGUUUGGGGCUCGUUCAUGAGGAAAGAUACCAAAUACGUUUGAACGGGGGCUUUACAUACACCACAGAAGGGGAGGGGGUCAAAAAAACUCCUCCUGAUGGUGUUCCCAUCAGUUGGUUCCACUUCCACAUGAAGGAGAGGAGGCCAGAGCUGUCAGAAUGUUUAGUUCAGUUUAUUCUCCAACCUCACUGAUGUGGAGUAAAGGGCGUUAAUAAAAUGUAAUAAGUGCUUUCAUUCCUUUUUUUUUUUUCUUUUUUACAGUGGAAGACAACAGGAGGACCACAACAUCCCAAUGUGAAGACUUCAUACAUGAAAUGUUUUUGCUUUUUGAACACAGAGGCAGAACGAGUUUGACUUUACUUUUGUAACAUAAGAUGACGAAACCUAAAGCUCCGUCUGAGGCAACGAAAAUCAUGAGCUGCUUAUCAACUGUCUGUUAACCAAGGCCCUGCUCAAAUAAAACAUGUCUACUCUAUUUGGGGCUACCUCAGUGUCUGUCAAUUUGUCUGUGCUGAUUUUGUCUGGAGUGUGAGUUACU